UAGAGUUUGAUCCUGGCUCAGAUUGAACGCUGGCGGCAGGCCUAACACAUGCAAGUCGAGCGGAUGAGAGGAGCUUGCUCCUUGAUUUAGCGGCGGACGGGUGAGUAAUGCCUAGGAAUCUGCCUAGUGGUGGGGGAUAACGUUCCGAAAGGAACGCUAAUACCGCAUACGUCCUACGGGAGAAAGCGGGGGAUCUUCGGACCUCGCGCCAUUAGAUGAGCCUAGGUCGGAUUAGCUAGUUGGUGAGGUAAAGGCUCACCAAGGCGACGAUCCGUAACUGGUCUGAGAGGAUGAUCAGUCACACUGGAACUGAGACACGGUCCAGACUCCUACGGGAGGCAGCAGUGGGGAAUAUUGGACAAUGGGCGAAAGCCUGAUCCAGCCAUGCCGCGUGUGUGAAGAAGGUCUUCGGAUUGUAAAGCACUUUAAGUUGGGAGGAAGGGUAUUCACCUAAUACGUGAGUAUUUUUAAGUCCCGUAACGAGCGCAACCCUUGUCCUUAGUUACCAGCACGUUAUGGUGGGCACUCUAAGGAGACUGCCGGUGACAAACCGGAGGAAGGUGGGGAUGACGUCAAGUCAUCAUGGCCCUUACGGCCAGGGCUACACACGUGCUACAAUGGUCGGUACAAAGGGUUGCCAAGCCGCGAGGUGGAGCUAAUCCCAUAAAACCGAUCGUAGUCCGGAUCGCAGUCUGCAACUCGACUGCGUGAAGUCGGAAUCGCUAGUAAUCGUGAAUCAGAAUGUCACGGUGAAUACGUUCCCGGGCCUUGUACACACCGCCC
rnacentral:rRNA from 1 species